UAGAUUGAAGCCAGUUGAUUAGGGUAUUUAGCUGUUAACUAAAAUUUUGUGGGAUGAUAGCCCACCAAUCUAG
rnacentral:tRNA from 1 species